UACGAAGGGGGCUAGCGUUGCUCGGAAUCACUGGGCGUAAAGGGUGCGUAGGCGGGUCUUUUAAGUCAGGGGUGAAAUCCUGGAGCUCAACUCCAGAACUGCCUUUGAUACUGAGGAUCUUGAGUUCGGGAGAGGUGAGUGGAACUGCGAGUGUAGAGGUGAAAUUCGUAGAUAUUCGCAAGAACACCAGUGGCGAAGGCGGCUUACUGGACCGGUUCUGACGCUGAGGCGCGAAAAGCGUGGGGGAGCAAACAGG
rnacentral:rRNA from 1 species